rnacentral:rRNA from 1 species
GAUGAACGCUAGCGGCAGGCCUAAUACAUGCAAGACGAACGGUAACUUGGGUAGCAAUACUUGAGCUAGAGUGUCGUAAGGGUGCGUAACAAGUAUGCAAUCUGCCCUGUACAGGAGAAUAGCUCCCCGAAAGGGGAAUUAACACUCCAUAAUAUGAUUGAAAGGCAUCUUUUGAUUAUUAAAACUGAGGUGGUACAGGAUGAGCAUGCUUCUGAUUAGCUAGUUGGUAGUGUAACGGACUACCAAGGCGAUGAUCAGUAGGGGAACUGAGAGGUUGAUCCCCCACACUGGCACUGAGGUACGGGCCAGACUCCUACGGGAGGCAGCAGUAGGGAAUAUUGGUCAAUGGAUGCAAGUCUGAACCAGCCAUGCCGCGUGCAGGAAGAAGGCCUUCUGGGUUGUAAACUGCUUUUGCCGGGGGAUAAAAAGCCCAUGCGUGGGAACUUGAAGGUACCCGGUGAAUAAGCCACGGCUAACUACGUGCCAGCAGCCGCGGUAAUACGUAGGUGGCAAGCGUUGUCCGGAUUUAUUGGGUUUAAAGGGUGCGUAGGCGGUCCUAUAAGUCAGUGCUGAAAUAUCCCGGCUUAACCGGGAGGGUGGCAUUGAUACUGCAGGACUUGAGUAAAGUUGAGGUUGGCGGAAUUGACGGU